GAGUUCACGCGCUGCAGCAAGACCAGAAAUUCCUGCUCCAACAAUCAAUACAGUUUUAGGGUUUUGAGUCUUUUUUUCAUUCAUGUCCUAUAACGGAAAAAGAAAGAAAAUCGUGACAUCACAAUCAGUAACAGAAAAAAAAGGUUUAAGAAUGUUUUCCACUUUACAAACUCGCUUGUCUGCUAAUCAAUUAUAGUUUGUUUGCUUUGGCUAACGAUAAAAAUCAUGGAUUAUACAGAUAAUGCUUUAAAUUUUUAAGUUUGUUUAAAAAUUGUUCUUUGCACUCAGAAUGCAUUAAUAAUAGUCAGGUUAUUCUUUGUCAAA